UACGAAGGGUGCAAGCGUUAAUCGGAAUUACUGGGCGUAAAGCGUGCGUAGGCGGUUUCUUAAGUCUGCUGUGAAAGCCCCGGGCUCAACCUGGGAAUGGCGGUGGAUACUGAGAAGCUGGAGUACGGUAGAGGAAGGUGGAAUUCCCGGUGUAGCGGCGAAAUGCGUAGAGAUCGGGAGGAACAUCAGUGGCGAAGGCGGCCUUCUGGACCAGUACUGACGCUGAGGCACGAAAGCGUGGGGAGCAAACGGG
rnacentral:rRNA from 1 species